AAAUUGAAGAGUUUGAUCAUGGCUCAGAUUGAACGCUGGCGGCAGGCCUAACACAUGCAAGUCGAACGGUAACAGGAAGCAGCUUGCUGCUUUGCUGACGAGUGGCGGACGGGUGAGUAAUGUCUGGGAAACUGCCUGAUGGAGGGGGAUAACUACUGGAAACGGUGGCUAAUACCGCAUAACGUCGCAAGACCAAAGAGGGGGACCUUCGGGCCUCUUGCCAUCAGAUGUGCCCAGAUGGGAUUAGCUUGUUGGUGAGGUAACGGCUCACCAAGGCGACGAUCCCUAGCUGGUCUGAGAGGAUGACCAGCCACACUGGAACUGAGACACGGUCCAGACUCCUACGGGAGGCAGCAGUGGGGAAUAUUGCACAAUGGGCGCAAGCCUGAUGCAGCCAUGCCGCGUGUAUGAAGAAGGCCUUCGGGUUGUAAAGUACUUUCAGCGGGGAGGAAGGUGUUGUGGUUAAUAACCGCAGCAAUUGACGUUACCCGCAGAAGAAGCACCGGCUAACUCCGUGCCAGCAGCCGCGGUAAUACGGAGGGUGCAAGCGUUAAUCGGAAUUACUGGGCGUAAAGCGCACGCAGGCGGUCUGUCAAGUCGGAUGUGAAAUCCCCGGGCUCAACCUGGGAACUGCAUUCGAAACUGGCAGGCUUGAGUCUUGUAGAGGGGGGUAGAAUUCCAGGUGUAGCGGUGAAAUGCGUAGAGAUCUGGAGGAAUACCGGUGGCGAAGGCGGCCCCCUGGACAAAGACUGACGCUCAGGUGCGAAAGCGUGGGGAGCAAACAGGAUUAGAUACCCUGGUAGUCCACGCCGUAAACGAUGUCUACUUGGAGGUUGUGCCCUUGAGGCGUGGCUUCCGGAGCUAACGCGUUAAGUAGACCGCCUGGGGAGUACGGCCGCAAGGUUAAAACUCAAAUGAAUUGACGGGGGCCCGCACAAGCGGUGGAGCAUGUGGUUUAAUUCGAUGCAACGCGAAGAACCUUACCUGGUCUUGACAUCCACGGAAGUUUUCAGAGAUGAGAAUGUGCCUUCGGGAACCGUGAGACAGGUGCUGCAUGGCUGUCGUCAGCUCGUGUUGUGAAAUGUUGGGUUAAGUCCCGCAACGAGCGCAACCCUUAUCCUUUGUUGCCAGCGGUCCGGCCGGGAACUCAAAGGAGACUGCCAGUGAUAAACUGGAGGAAGGUGGGGAUGACGUCAAGUCAUCAUGGCCCUUACGACCAGGGCUACACACGUGCUACAAUGGCGCAUACAAAGAGAAGCGACCUCGCGAGAGCAAGCGGACCUCAUAAAGCGCGUCGUAGUCCGGAUUGGAGUCUGCAACUCGACUCCAUGAAGUCGGAAUCGCUAGUAAUCGUGGAUCAGAAUGCCACGGUGAAUACGUUCCCGGGCCUUGUACACACCGCCCGUCACACCAUGGGAGUGGGUUGCAAAAGAAGUAGGUAGCUUAACCUUCGGGAGGGCGCUUACCACUUUGUGAUUCAUGACUGGGGUGAAGUCGUAACAAGGUAACCGUAGGGGAACCUGCGGUUGGAUCACCUCCUUA
rnacentral:rRNA from 1 species